rnacentral:rRNA from 1 species
UACCAGCACCCCGAGUGGUCGGGACGUUUAUUGGGCCUAAAGCAUCCGUAGCCGGUUCUACAAGUCUUCCGUUAAAUCCACCUGCUUAACAGAUGGGCUGCGGAAGAUACUAUGGAGCUAGGAGGCGGGAGAGGCAAGCGGUACUCGAUGGGUAGGGGUAAAAUCCGUUGAUCCAUUGAAGACCACCAGUGGCGAAGGCGGCUUGCCAGAACGCGCUCGACGGCGAGGGAUGAAAGCUGGGGGAGCAAACCGG